ACACUCUUCUCUCUCCUCAGAAACCCCAGGACUUUGAUUUCGCCCAGCAGAAACUGACCGACAAGAACCUGGGGUUCCAGAUGCUACAGAAGAUGGGCUGGAAGGAGGGCCACGGCCUGGGCUCCUGCGGGAAGGGCAUCAGGGAGCCCGUCAGCGUGGGAACUGCCUCGGAAGGGGAGGGGUUGGGUGCCGACGGGCAGCAGCACAAAGAAGACACGUUUGACGUGUUCCGUCAGAGGAUGAUGCAGAUGUACAGACACAAACGGGCCAACAAAUAGCUGUCGGUUGGAGUGCUGAAGCUCUUUAAACAAGUGGAGGUACUGGAUUCGAUGAACGACCGUGUUAUUUAUGGAGUCUCAUCUCUUAAAUGCAUCCCAAGAGACUUGACGAAAUUUCAGCAAUGUAUUCAGCAGCUGUAUUCAGUGGGGAGUAAUCAUUACACCGAUGAAACUUUCCCCAAAUUUACGUGUCUCUUAGAAUCCACAAAGCAAACUACAGUUGUUUUUUUUUAAACAACAUAUGGAGUCUCUCCUACAAAGGGGUGGGAGGUGUAAACUCUUCAAGACUCUUCAUUUUUUGCAUGUGUGGCAGUGUAAAGAAUUGUUUUAUUAGGGCCUUUGUACAGAGCAGAAAGGAUCCUCUUGGGGUGGGCUCUGCAGCUGUUUGCUAUUUCAAGGCAUAUGAUUGCCGCCCCUUCCAGCUUCUCGCACUCUGCCUCUUGCAACUACAUGCGAAAUUCUCAGGCUGUGGGAAUCUCUCAGCCCUUCCUCAUAAAGCAGCAGUGUUGAAGUUUUAAAUACAUGCUAAAAUCUGGAAAACAGGAUCCUGCUGAUACUAUAAGCUUGGGGGACACAGCAAUGAGUUACCCUGUCAGCCACUUGUUUUGGCUGUUAUGAAAUCCUUGCUUUCUCAAAGCCCGAGACCUCCUGGGCUGUAGUCCCAGGCUCUGGAUCUGUCUUGCCCACACUCACCAGCACAGCGUCACGGGCCUGUGCCAGCAUCUCACGUGCCCGCCUGAUGUUGCCCUUCUUCAUGCCACGGGUAGUCCCCAGGGCUCUGCUUGCUUCUGAUCACUUUUGUUGCUUUGGCAACUGGCAGAUCUUUAUGGCCAUGGACAUGCUGGAGGUUCUUCAGCAGAGUUGAAAUAGCCUGCAGGGGUGGUGUGGUUUGGGGGAACCACAGCUAUGGGGGUUCACCUCCUUUCUUUUCUAAUCUUUCCAACAGCCUUCCAUGUUGUCUGGGGGUCAGGUAAAGGGAUAGAACUCUGAGAACAGGGCCUCGAUCCCGCAUGGCCUUUCACAGAGCACCCUUUGGUGCUGAGUGAGGUGUGCACCCCCCAGCAUGGGUCCUGGCUCUUUUUUCAAGCAUAGCUUUGAUCAUCAUAUUCACUUUGUCCUAGUAUACUCAUUCUUGGCUUUCUCUGCUUUUAUUUAUAAGUAAAAUACUUUAGGAAUUCCCGGGGUUUGAGCCCUGUUCCCACAGCCUUCUGCCACUCCUCCUCCUGGGGGUGUCCUGCUUUGAGCUGACACUGUGAGCCUUUGGCAGUCGUCAAAGGGAGCACUUACUUCUUGAGCCUGGAAAGUCCUGUAAGCACUCAGGUGGCGCUUCUGUGGAGUUGGCAUUGAGGCAGUGAAGGCGUUGCGUGGGCCGGGGAGGAGCGUGGUGGUGCGUCCCUGUGCCAGCUGUCGGCUGGGGACCAGCGCGCUGCCCCUCUGUGCCCGCCCUUGCCCUCUCCAGCAGAGGCCGCUCUGCGGGGAGCACGCGUGAGAGCAAGUGCGAUGUGCAGUUGCAUAGCCUUGUCAAAGUCACAGUGUCUUUUCUGUCA